UACAGAGGUCUCAAGCGUUGUUCGGAUUCAUUGGGCGUAAAGGGUGCGUAGGCGGCGCGGUAAGUCGGGUGUGAAAUCUCGGGGCUUAACUCCGAAACUGCAUUCGAUACUGCCGUGCUUGAGGACUGGAGAGGAGACUGGAAUUUACGGUGUAGCAGUGAAAAUGCGUAGAGAUCGUAAGGAAGACCAGUGGCGAAGGUGGGUCUCUGGACAGUUCCUGACACUGAGGCACGAAGGCCAGGGGAGCAAAACGGGG
rnacentral:rRNA from 1 species